GAUGAACGCUGGCGGCGUGCCUAAUACAUGCAAGUCGAGCGAACGGACGAGAAGCUUGCUUCUCUGAUGUUAGCGGCGGACGGGUGAGUAACACGUGGAUAACCUACCUAUAAGACUGGGAUAACUUCGGGAAACCGGAGCUAAUACCGGAUGAUAUUUUGAACCGCAUGGUUCAAAAGUGAAAGACGGUCUUGCUGUCACUUAUAGAUGGAUCCGCGCUGCAUUAGCUAGUUGGUAAGGCAACGGCUUACCAAGGCAACGAUGCAUAGCCGACCUGAGAGGGUGAUCGGCCACACUGGAACUGAGACACGGUCCAGACUCCUACGGGAGGCAGCAGUAGGGAAUCUUCCGCAAUGGGCGAAAGCCUGACGGAGCAACGCCGCGUGAGUGAUGAAGGUCUUCGGAUCGUAAAACUCUGUUAUUAGGGAAGAACAAAUGUGUAAGUAACUGUGCACAUCUUGACGGUACCUAAUCAGAAAGCCACGGCUAACUACGUG
rnacentral:rRNA from 1 species